UGAUAGAGGCGCGGCAGCCAAGAGUAGCGUCCCCCCAACACAGGCCGAUGGGGACGGGAAAGGGACUGCCGCCGAGGUUUCGCCUUCCGUGGCCUGACGGGAGACGGAGUCGGGCCGUCGGAGAACAUCCGCCGGACUGUCGCCCCCUAAUCGGGGCGGAGCGCUGUCGU
rnacentral:ncRNA from 1 species